UGGAAGAGUGACACCGCGGAGCCAUUAGCACAAGGUGGCUGUCAUUCUUUCUUUUCCCCCCAGGCUCCAAGUCUGUGCUCACCACAGGCAUGGCCUCUAUCUGCUGUCAAAGCAGCCAUGCCCAAUUCAUUUCCCACCUCAAUCCCUCCCAUCCUCGACUCAUGAGGCAAAGUUCAGACCAAGGUGAAGCAAAAAAAAAGGAACAAGAAGUUCUGAAAAAAGGGGAAUCCAUUAUCAAGACAAUAUUGUGUGACCCAAGUUCACCGCAGCUAAACUGAAGGAGAAAAAAAUAGAUAAGUGAUCCAUAUCCUCUGAGAUAUCUCAAUUGAACGUGGG